ensembl:snRNA Gm24925 predicted gene, 24925
GUGCUCACUUCAACAGCAUAUAUACUAAAAUUGGAACGAUACAGAGAAGAUUAGUAUGGCCCCUGAGCAAGGAUGCCAUGCAAAUUUGUGAAGUGUUCAAUAUUUUU